AUGCAAAGUGUUCAAUAGUUACUCCAUUCCUUAAAUUCAACUAUCUAUAGAGCAUCCAAUGCAAAGUGUUCAAUAGUUACUUCAUUCCUUAAAUUCAACUAUAAAUACACCAGAUUUUGUGUAAGUGAUACAUCAAAUUAAGCCAUCAACUAAAGGAAUCAAUGGCAUCAUUGAAGAUCGCGAAGCCUGCCAACAACUUAGGAGCUAGCAAUUUUGAGGAAUUAAUUGCAUCACGAAAGCUUGGGAUUUUCGAAAUAUCAAAUGCAUCACUGGAACCCGGGAAGCUCGAGAACAACUUUAAAGCUUUCAUUUUUGAGGAAUCAUUGGCAACGAUGAAGAUCAAGAAGCCUGUUAAGGAGGUUGCUAAACCAUCGGCCCCCAAGCCUCACGCCUCAAAAGCGAAGCCUAAAAAGCCCGAACAGCUUCGUGAACCUAAGAAGAAGACAUCAGAUGUCAAGAGUUCAGCCAAGCCAAAGAAAUAAGAAAGAAAAGGCUGAGUAGAAGUGAAUGAAGCUUAUUAUAAUUGUGAUCAUCAAUACUUAGUGAAUAAAGCUUAUUACUAUUAUAUAGGGACUCAGAUCGUUAAACUUUUUGCUUUUGGACUCAACUACUUAAAACUACUAAAACACAGGGACUCAAAAAGUAAUUUACCCUAAAAAUUAUAUAAUUUAGGUAGUAUUUUUUUAAAAAAAUAAGAGUUUACUAAAAAAAUUUUAAAAUAUAAAUUGAUAACACUUUUUACCUAAGGGGUGCGGACGAAAAAUUACAAGGGUGCGGACGAAAAAUUCUAAGGGUUGCGAACGGGAUUUUCGACGGAACUUAGCACUAAAUUUUUUUUCCCGAGGGUGAGUCCGCCCACCUUAGGCUAGCCUUAAGUCCGCCCCUGACAUGUACAUAUCUAGUUAGUUUUACUCAUUCGAACUCAAUAUGUUUUCAUUAUGUGAAUAAAAAUACACAAGUGAAUCUUUACGCAAUAUGGUCUCACGUAUGACAUUAUUUAAGUCAAUGGAAAAAAUAUCCUAAACGAGUGGGGCUGUUUGGUAGCCUCUUAAUGACCAUUCAGAUGCUACCUCUUAAUGGUUUAAAAUCUCUAAAUGAAUAAGAGGUAACCUCAAGUCUGAAUGGUUAAGAGUUAACCUCUAAAUGGUAAAUCAUCAAAUGUCACAUUCUUCUACGUUCUCAUUGAUAAAAUUCUUAAUGGUUCCAUUAAGAAAUAGCCUCUUAAUGACCAUUCAGAAGCUAUCAAACAGCCCCUUAGUCUUGUAUCCAAUGGCUAAAAGAAUGAUUUGUUUCUACCAUGGCUAUAUAGAUAUUACAAACCCAAGAAUAACAAAAGUUUAGGGAAGUUGGUUAAGAGUCGAAUUCCACAUCUUAAUCCUCUCAACAUGUAGCAAAUUGAGGGAAAAUCAUGAAAAUAGGCAAGUUCACCAAGUUAUCAAAAUAGGCAUUGACUUUUAAAUUUGUGCGCUAUGAAGGUGACGGCUUAUCGAACUGUGGGCUACGGAGGUGCCGACGUAUCAAAGUGUGGGCUAUGGAGGUGCUGACUUAUAGGAGUGUGGGUUAUGGAGGUGCCGGUUUAUAGGAGUGUCGGCUUAAUCAUGGGCGAAGGAUGGGGGGGAGAGGGCGACCGACCCCCCGAACUUUUCGCUCAGUAGUGGAGAGUAUGUAAUUUUGGUAUAGAAAUUUUUGGGUAUAUACGUUUUCGACAGCCUGUUUUAUAGAAAUUUUUGGUAUAUACGUUUUCGACCCCACUAUCGGAAAUCUCAAGCUUCGCCACUAGGCUUAAUCAGAGUGUGGGCUAUAGAGGUGCCGACUUAUCUUAUCGGAGUGUGGGAUAUGGAGGUGAUAGCUCUACCUUUGCUUACUAUCCUUCUCUUAUUGGUUGUUUUGAAUUGCUUAUUUUUCAAGUCUAGAAAUUCAAUGCCUAUUUUGCUAAUAUUCUUGGUCAAGAUGCCUAUAUUCAUCAUUUUCCCACAUAUUGAGAUUUUGAAGAGGUUGAGAAGUGAUGCCGAGAAUCAUAAACUUAGAGAUGCAUUGCUUAUUACCAUCCGGAUAGAUGUUUAUAACAAGUGUGCGUGUGCGUGCGCACACACACACUAAGUUAUGUACACUUUUUGAACCGUAAAGAAUCUCACGUGUAAAUCCACCCUGCUCGGGGCUAGGUAUAAGGUCAGCUCCUCGACCACCAUGAGACCGUGCCCCUCAGAUACGCGGUAACCAAAUGGAAUCCGUAAACCCUCUCCCCAUGUCGGGUUCGAACCCGGGAUUAAAGCCCGAUCGGCCCUUCACCGAUCAACCGUACGUACCGCCAUUUGAUAUGUUACUUUAUCACUGUAUGGCAUCACAUGCUCUAUUAUUAACAACUUGUUUCUAGGCAUCAAAAUAAUGUAGUAUUUUGAAUCACAUCUCCAAUCCUAUAGGGAAUCUAACGCAAAAUGUUUAACAAUUAUUUCAUUCCUUAAAUCAAUCUAUAAAUACACCAGCCUUUGUGUAAGUGAUACAUUAAAGCCAACAACGUAAGAAACUGCUUUCCAAGGAAUCAAUGGCAUCGAUGAAGCUGGAGAAGCCUGUUAAGGAGACGGCUAAACCAUCCACCGCCAAACCUUCUGCCUUGAAAGCAGCCCCGAAAAAGCCCACACAGCCCCGUGAACCUAGGAAGAAGACAUCAGGUGUGAAGAGUUCAGCCAAACCAAAGAAGUAAGAAGGAAAAGACUGAUUAGCGGUUAUUAAACUUAUUAUUAUGAAUAUUGAUCAGUUGGCUUGUAAUCUUAUUCUUAUUUAUAUCUUCUAGAAUGCAAUAAAUACAAUCUGAAGUUGCUUCAUAACAUA